CAGAGUCAGUCUUCAGGAGACUUUCCAACCAAAUUGGAAUUCCCAGAAAAAAAUUAGGUCAUUUCAGAAGAUUAAUAAAAGAUACAACUAAGUUCCUGUAGAAGGAUCUAAAAUUUAUAAAUGAAUUAUAACUUAUUCCAGAUAUUUUACAAUAAAUGAUAAGAGAUUCUUCAAAACAUUUGGAAUAUAGAAGUGUAGCUUAAUGGGCUCUAACUUAUUCUCUGAAAUAAUUUGUUUCUGAAAUGGAUAUUUAAAUUCAUCUAAC
rnacentral:lncRNA from 1 species